rnacentral:lncRNA from 10 species
AUGUGAUCUGACUUUUUUUGCAAGUAAUUUUUUUCUUGUUUGUCUCUCCAGGUUAUCAUCAGGAAAUCGUUCAUAUUAAGCGAAAAAUAUGCAAAGUUCUAUGCUACACUGUGUGAAGAAAGAUAAGCAGAAAUGAUCUAGCACUCUCACUUCUAUAAUCUUCCCAGUUCUGAUGACUACUCUCUUUUUGAGGAUCUAAGCCUUACUAGAAACUGAACACUUAACCAUGGGACAUCAAGUUCUCAUCUGACCAGACCUGCUCAUCAUGAAUUUGGUAUUAUUCUGACCAACAAGCUGUGAAGUUGGGCAUGAACAGCAGCAAAUAGAAGUAAUAUGUGUAUGAUCAGGCUGGAGCAGGCCCUGAAGGCACAAGUAAGUUGCAUGAAAGAGUGACCCAAAUACCUAUGGUUGAACACUCCACCUACACAGCCUUAUUUUUCUUCCAACCUUCACCUACAGCCUCAUGGCGAAGUCUCAGUGACCAGCUGACUAUAUAUAAACCAGUUACAGAAACAGUAACUUUUUCUCUUGUUGUUAAUAUUGUGUGUGUAUGUAGCAAAUAUCUCUGUUUUUCUCUCUCUUAUUCCCUUGUCAUGUAACAUAAGAUGUAUUAACUUUAUAUUGUAGUAUUUAAGUAUUGUUAAUUUUACAUCAUAGGGUUCAAGUUAUCAAGGAGAAGAGCGAACAUCACUCAAAGACCUUUCCUCUUCUUCCAGCAAGAAGGCCCUUACCAGAUGCCAGCACCUUGAAAUUGGUCUUUCUAGCCUCCAGAUCUGUCAUUCAUGCAUCUGUGAUCAGCUGCCAGACUGGGUGGAGGCUGGUUCAUCUGAAAUGACUUCAGCUAGGAUGACCUGACUCUGCUUUUUUACAUUUAAGUAUCUUCUGAGGCUUAUUCACACGACAGUAAUAGAGAUCCAAAAGCAAAAUGGGAAAUAUGCAAAAUCUUUCAAGGGCUAGGCACAAAAUUAGUCUGUUAUUUCUACCACAUUUUACUAAUCAAUGCAAGUUAUAAGGUCAGACAAGAUUUAAGGGGUGAAGAAAGAGUGGCAAAGUUGCUAUACAAAGAGGAGUGGAUAUAGGAAGAGAUAAAGAAUUAUGGUUAUUUUUGCAAUCUCAUGCAAAUAGCAUUUUUGCAAUAUAAGUUUAGUUUCAUGGCUUUAUUGAGAAAAGCUUAAAUCAAAAACUGCAGAAUCUUUUUGUGUGUGUUUUUUAUUCCCCUGGCACAUUCUAGCAUAUACUUACAAAUACCAAUUCCUGGCAUGGAUGCAGAUCAACUGCUAAUGAGAAUGCGAAAUAAUACGGCCACUUUGGAAAACAGUUUGAUAAUUUCUUAUAAAAAGUUAAUUAUACACUUACCAUGUAAGCCAGUAAUCCAACUACUGAGUUAUUUAACCAAAUGCAAUGAAAACUUAGUUUUCACUGGCAUAAAAUUCUUUCCCACUUAUUAAGCCUUCAAUCCCUUGACUUUGUCUGUUGCAGAUAGAAAAAUUAAAAGACAUAGAGGCUAAAGCCAAAUCUAGCCUACUGCCUGUUUUUGUUAAUAAAGUUUUAUUGGAACAUUGCCAUGCCAUUUGUUUACACAAUGUUUAUGACUACUUGUGUGCUGUGCUACAAUGACAGAGUUGAGCAAUUGUGCAUGAGCUCACAAGGCCCUCAAAGCCUAAAAUAUUUACUAUCUAGCCUUUUACAUAGCAAGUUUGCUGACUCCUAGAGGAUAGGAUUUUGUAAUUGUUUUUUAACAGGUCAGUGUUGAAAAUCAUGUUAAUCACUUAUGAUUGUGUUCCAUUGGCCAGAACUAUGUCUCAUGGUCACACAGUGUAGGCUGGGCUAUUUACAAUACUUGCAUGCAUAGGAAACAGAGGAAACUGAUAUUUGUAACUCUGUUAUGUCUUCACUGAUUUUCCAAAGACUGUAUCAUUCUGCAUCUACUCUCACAUACCACUUUUAAAUAUGUGUGUUUUUGACACAGUUGUAGGUUGUACAUUACUAUUUCUUUUCAUGUUUAACCCUUUAACUGGACUUGGUAAAAAAAAUCAUCUUAUUCAUCUCUAUAUUUUUAGUGUCAUACUCAAUUGAAUAAAGUUAAUAAAGGAAAUAAUGCAAUCAGG